CGUGUAGGCGGUGCGGUAAGUUGGGCGUGAAAUCCCCGAGCUUAACUCGGGUGGGCCGUUCAAGACUGCCGUGCUAGGGUGCGGGAGAGGGAAGUGGAAUUUCCGGUGUAGCGGUGAAAUGCGUAGAUAUCGGGAGGAACACCUGCGGCGAAGGCGGCUUCCUGGACCGUAACCGACGCUGAGGCGCGAAAGCUAGGGGAGCAAACAGGAUUAGAUACCCUGGUAGUCCUAGCCCUAAACGAUGAGCACUGGGUGUGGCCCCUCACGAGGCCGUGCCGAAGCUAACGCAUUAAGUGCUCCGCCUGGGGAGUACGGUCGCAAGGCUAGAA
rnacentral:rRNA from 1 species